rnacentral:rRNA from 1 species
GACGAAGGGGGCUAGCGUUGUUCGGAAUUACUGGGCGUAAAGCGCGUGUAGGCGGUUGUUCAAGUCAGGGGUGAAAGCCUUGAACUCAACUCAAGAAAUGCACUUGAUACUGGAUGACUAGAGGACCGGAGAGGAUAGUGGAAUUCCCAGUGUAGUGGUGAAAUACGUAGAGAUUGGGAAGAACACCAGUGGCGAAGGCGGCUAUCUGGACGGUUUCUGACGCUAAGACGCGAAAGCGUGGGGAGCAAACAGG